rnacentral:rRNA from 1 species
AAAUUGAAGAGUUUGAUCAUGGCUCAGAUUGAACGCUGGCGGCAGGCCUAACACAUGCAAGUCGAGCGGUAGCACAGAGAGCUUGCUCUCGGGUGACGAGCGGCGGACGGGUGAGUAAUGUCUGGGAAACUGCCUGAUGGAGGGGGAUAACUACUGGAAACGGUAGCUAAUACCGCAUAAUGUCGCAAGACCAAAGUGGGGGACCUUCGGGCCUCAUGC